UUUUCCCAAUUCGGUCGUAGGUGGAGCUGCCCACUAACCCCGUCACCCCAUUAUUUUCUUUCCAAUUCAACCCAGACGACGGCGAGCGGUUGGGAUUGGGCGAGGCAGCGGCGAUGCGGGUGAGCGGCCGGCGGCGAUGCGGGUGACUGGCCGGCGGCGAGCGGCGGAUGCGCUAUGCGUUGUGGGUGUCCUUCGCUCUGUUGUGGUCUGCCGACGAAUCGACGGCGACCGGCUGUAGGUGUGAUUGCGGCCGGCAGCGGGCGGUUGUACGCAGGGUUGCUCCGAGCGGCUGCAGCUGGGGAUCUUAUCGGCUUGAGGCUUGGUGAGUGGCAGAUCCUCCUCUCCGCCUCCAACAUCAGUUCGGCCGUCUGUUCGUCCACGUUCCUCACCGCCGGCUAGCCGUCAACUUCGCCCCGUCGUCAGCCGACCGUCUUCUCCCCCGAGCGCCGGCAGCGCCCCAUACUCUACGCUGGCACCGUCUGCUUCGCUCCAGCACUGGAAGCACCGUCCCCUUCGUACCUCUCUUCACCUCCCGACGCUGACGGCCGUCGUCCACGGAUCCAUUCCUCACUUCAUUGAAGCACCUGCCGCCGUCCAGGCUCCUGCCACCGGGUUCCAGCAAUCCAAGCCUGGAACGUCAUCGAGGAGCCCCAAUCGCCCGCUACCAGGUGUGAACUGUUAUUGGCAGAUUCACAUUGGUUUCGUGUUGUCAAAGAGGUGGGGUAGAGGUAUGUUGAAACAAUUCAGAGGCACCGGACUGAGCUACUUGCUGGUGCGUGCUCCGGCGAACGCUAGCCACUGGCAUGCUUGGGAAAGCAUGUCAUUGAUCCGGAUAUUCCUUUCUCGGUCGUUGAUCCAGAUAGUCCCUUCUCGAAUAUCUUUUCCACGUUGUUGCCUUGUUGGGCAUGGAAGAAACAGGGUAUAUUUAUCAUUGUAUUGAACCCGCGGACUGCUGCACAUCUUCCCCUCCAUUGAAUAUCAAAUUAAUUCCAUCUUUGUGCAUCUGCUGAUAUGAAGGAAGAAGAUUCACAUUCACUAGCGAGAUCCACUUAUACAGAAGGGCAAAUUUUAUAUCACGGGCAUCCUAUAUUUAUAUCAUCGUCUGCCGACCCAGCCUGUUAUGCAGUGGCGGAGCCAAAGCUAAGCUGUGUAGUCAAAUGACUACACAGUUUUUCUAGAAAACAAGCUAAAAGUGUGUAAAAAUUUACUCAAAAAUUAUGCAAAUAUAUGUAUUUGACUACACAACAUCAAGCUGACAACACAUGGUUAUUGUUCUGGCUCCGCCACUGCUGUUAUGUAUGGCACAUGAGCCUGCCGGCGGCUGGUGAUCCAGUAAUCGCUGCACACAAGGUAUGGUAUGGUGAGCUUCUAUAUCAUUUCCUGCCUCAUAUGUGUAUAGUUUGUGUGCUCAAUCUGGUGAUGAUGAAGCCAGAUUUACACUCCCGCUGUUUAUUCCUGUUUGGCCUUCUAGGGACCUAAAAACUCCCAGGUGGCCAUAUCAAUAGCCAAAAUAUGUCACCUUUCUGCAGUGUUCCUUGUGUUUGCCAAUAGGUCUAUGGCCUUCUUCAAAAAAAAAUCAACUGAUAGAAUUAAUUCUUUUUUACAUUGCCCGUCCAUAGUUCUGAACUAUUGCGGGAGCCAUGAUGGAUAUGUGUCUUAUUCUUUAGCUUUACAACCUUAGAUGGUUGGUUUGUAUGAUAGCAACUCUUUCCUUUGUCUAUACAAAGUAAAAGAUUAUAGAAAUGUUGUACAUCUGAUGACUGUGUUGAUACCCUAUGAAGCACCGGUACGGCGAUACGGAUACGGGAACAUGGGAUACGGCAAUAUCUAGAAAUAGCAAUACGGCGAUACGGCGAGUAUACAUAUAAAAAUUAAUAUAAAUCCAUUUGAUUUAGACAAAGAAUAAUUGAAUGCUGUGAAAAUCUGCCCCAUUUGUUGCCUCCGUGUCUGUUUUAAGUUCUUGAUGGCUGAAUGAUCGUCUCAUCAAUUUCCUCAAUCAUUAUAUUGCCCAUUCGUGCUUGCAAAAUACAUCGAUGGCAAGAAAUAUCUUUGACUUGUGAGUGUAAGGCAUGGCCACAGUGCCCAAUUUUUAAUGUCCCGUUUCAUCUUCGAGAAUAUUGGGCAACUAAGGGUAUGCAUUUUUUUUUACGUUGGUUUCUUUGCACCAAUUAUGUUCAUAUCAUCAGAACUGAAUACUCUUGUUUCCUGAAUGACUACAGUUAAAAUCAUCUUGAAUUUGCUAUAUUCAGAAUUAUAUAGCAUGUUCUCUCUUUGUCUGAUCGAUUGCUGGCCUCUCCAGAUGAAGAGGCAUGUGUUUUCUUAAGAAGUUAUUAUUGAGUGCACUUCUUGCAGCACGUCGAUGUCUGUCAUUCGCUAUUGUCCGCUUGAUUUUUCUACUACGAAACAUACUACCAAUAGAAGACAGAAGUUGCCGUGGAUGUUUUGGAGCGCAUGUGGACACCCAAAUCUAUGGUGUCAAUGAUGUUGACCUUGGAGAUAUUUGGGACUUGUACAACUAAUAACGUGCCUAUGCGAAAUUUUUCCAGAAGGGUGUUUUAAGGAACCUAAUUAUGGGAUUCUGCUAUAGUGCUAUGUAAUAAAUUAUUUCUGUACUUCCUAUGUAAAAACAACAAGACCAUAUACAUGUUUCUUUGCGCUGCAUGAUUUUAUUAUAACAGCAGGCAACAGGUACUCUUAUGAGCCGUGAUUUUAUGGCAAUGUAAUAGUUC